UUCUAAAGAUAAUAUCUUCCCUCUGCAUUAGACUUUCUGUAGGGGAAUGUUUGGAGGGUAAUAUGACCAGAAUGCAGUUGGGGAUCAUGGGGAUCCGAAUUUUAUGUGCCUUCUGUAAUUUCUCUUCUACCAGAGCCAAUUCUUUUUCAACUUCAGCUGAUCAUUGGCUAUUUAAGUCCUUGUCACCAUCUAAGAGUUUGUGUAAAUUAAUAAGUUGGUCAGGUUUUAUCCUGACUGUAGCUGGGAAAUGUCUCCCAGCGAGCUCUGAAGUCAUCAAGAAUCUGCAGUCCAUCUCUUUUACUUUGCUCCUUUUGGGGUCUAAUUUUUUGUAAACCUAUUUUAUAGCCUAAAUCAUUAAUUGACUCUCCUUGUAUUUUCCAGGAGCAAUUUGUAAUCUGCAACAAGGCAAAACUUUCUUCAAAGUCUUUCUAAAGUAUCUACAUUUGAAUCCGAUAGUAAAGUGUCAUCCAUGUAAUGGCAAACUAUAGAUUGAGGAAAUUGCUUGCUUAUCAGUUCCAACAGCUGCUAUACAGCCAUACAGGACCUGUUUUCCCAGUACUGUCACUUACAGUAACCCAGCUGAGAAGUAAGGAGGAAAGAAUCGGGCAUCUGCCAAAACAGUUGUCUAGUCCAGCUUCUACAGCUCACUUCCUCCUGUUUCAGAAACCUGAAGAUGACUUUCCAACUUCCGUCAUUAGCAAGGAUGCAACAGCAGGCAGCCAGAGAGCAGAAGUGAUAGUCUGGACUGGGCUCAGAAGUGCCUAGGAGCCUGGCACGGAGAACUCUGGAAGCCUGAUGUUCGUUGUGAAUCACUGUUCAUUACAGUGACGCUGCUGCCUCACUUUGACCUUGUAAAGAUCCCUGAUUACAGUAGACACCAUCCAAAAGUAUUCCCCACCA